rnacentral:rRNA from 1 species
AGUGAACGCUGGCGGUAGGCCUAACACAUGCAAGUCGAACGGCAGCACAGUAAGAGCUUGCUCUUACGGGUGGCGAGUGGCGGACGGGUGAGGAAUACAUCGGAAUCUACUUUUUCGUGGGGGAUAACGUAGGGAAACUUACGCUAAUACCGCAUACGACCUACGGGUGAAAGCAGGGGAUCUUCGGACCUUGCGCGAUUGAAUGAGCCGAUGUCGGAUUAGCUAGUUGGCGGGGUAAAGGCCCACCAAGGCGACGAUCCGUAGCUGGUCUGAGAGGAUGGUCAGCCACACUGGAACGGGAACACGGUCCAGACUCCUACGGGAGGCAGCAGUGGGGAAUAUUGGACAAUGGGCGCAAGCCUGAUCCAGCCAUACCGCGUGGGUGAAGAAGGCCUUCGGGUUGUAAAGCCCUUUUGUUGGGAAAGAAAAGCAGCAGGUUAAUACCCCGCUGUUCUGACGGUACCCAAAGAAUAAGCACCGGCUAACUUCGUG